AUUAAGCCAAGCUCUGGCACUCCGGGUGAAGUCAUGGAACAUUUUCACUUUAAAACUGAAACCAUAUACAAGCUUUUGCUGAAAGCAUUGUCAGAUCAGCACUGGAAGAUUUUAAAUCAGGCCGUGCCUAUGAAUGGGUGCAUGAAUGGCUCUUUUGUGGCCCUGUCACUUCUCAGGCACAAAGCCUUUUUAGCAAGCAAAAUAUUUUGGCCAUUCUUAUUUUUGCUGUGUGAUUUAUAACACUGUCCCAAAGCCCUUUGUGAAUUUAAAAUGCUGUGACCCUGUUUUUUCAGAGAGGAAUGCUUAAAUAUAAUAUUCCCAGAUCCUCGUGUUCUUGUGUGAAGCCUGCAAAUACUGACAGGGAUGCUUUUAACUGAAUAUAGGAUGGAAUUCUGGCAGAAUCAGAGCCAUUUCAGAAAUACCAAGUAUUUUAGCAAACAGCUUUGCAACCCAUGGAGCACACAAGAUUUCAAAGACCGACUUCAGUGGGAUUCCUUCUGCAGAGAGAACCGGGUCCUUCUGUCUUAAACAAGAACUGAUUCAGGCUCUGAGAACUGCAAAGCAGGAACCUGAGGUCAAAGUUCAGCUCUUCAUUUUGACCACUGAAGAGCUGAGCAGGAGCCGUGAGGAGCAGAAGACACGCAAGGCUUUCGUUACUCAAGAGCACAGGAACUCAGAGCCAUCAGGGUGAUGGCUCUGCACAAGCUGUACAAAAAAACCCUUUCUUUUCUGGAAAGAUGAAGUGUCCUUGCACUUUGCCAUGCCUCUAGAGCACAGUGUGGUUAUGACCCUACCCAAGCUUUUGUCCUGGAGCAACUCUCAUGGGAUUUGGAAAGAGAAAAACCCUUGCAAACCAAUGUAAUGGAAAGGUUUCCCAAGAAACUUGAGUAAUCCAGGAUUGUGCCCUUGAACCACUACAUUAUUUUCCACAUUUUUUAGUAAUUAACAUAAUUAGUUCCAACCAUAAGCUGGCGUUUACCAACGGAGGGGAUCUCAGCUCUCACCAUCUGAAUUUCUCUGUGUCUAUGUCUUUCCCCAGCUUGGCUUAACAGUUCCCUGCUUCAUUUUGACAUGAAUAUCAAUGAAGGCUUAAUACCAUGAGUAGAUAACAACAGAGGAUAAAACCUGACACACACUUUCUUCACUAUCAUAAAAAUAGGUGGCAGCAGCAGCUCGUAGACAGAGAAUUUACUACAGCACUAACAUAGGAACCUCAAAUUUUUGAGGCCCCUCAAACCCUGACUAAAACUCAUGGCUACAGCUAAAAAAUCUUGGCCUUGAAUAAGCAAUGCCCUGUGGUGCUCCCACUGGGAGAAGUCCUGACUGCCCAUGGCUACUGGGCAAAAAGAGGGAAGUUAACCGUAAAAAGAAAAAGGAAUGGUGUCAUGGAGGAGGGGGAAGAGCCUUUCACAUGAAGUGAUGCAAUGAGACCACUCCGUGCAGACAGAGCUCUUUAAAAUGGGAGUAUUAAAAAUGUGGGUAGGCUAAAUGGAAGCUACAUGUGAUUAAAAAUGGGAUAGUGCUCCCCCUUAGAGAUACGCUAGAGUGACUACGAGGUAAAUUAUAAAGGCAUUUUUCUUUUUAAUUCCAUGUAGAAUGGAAAAAGAAAACAAAAUGUUUUACAUUUUGGCAGUACUAAGAGUAUUCAGCUUCCAGAUAUAGUUUUUGCUGGCAUUUAUUCCUAGAAAUGAUAUGAAAGCAUGCCCAUAUACUUCUAAAUGAUCCUGCAAAAUGUAAAUGUAAGUCUUGAAGAACUUGCUGGAUGCAAUCAGCUUCUUGAAAUUAAGAGCUGAGGGACUUUUCCCUAAGUUAAUGAAGAAACUGAGAUUUUUUUUCUGCCGAUUUCAGUCAUCUGAAGAGAGCAGUGGUGUCAGAGAUCAUCAGAGCCCAACCCACACCUGGCUCCAAGACAAAUUCAUAGAAACUAGAGAAAAAUACUGAGGAAAUAGCUGAAUAGGAUGAUUCCUGAGACAUCCAUGCGUGGCAUUUCCCUAAGCUCAGUGCGUUGAGCAAGCCUAGUCUUGGUUGAGGUCACCAGACAGACAAUGACAA